rnacentral:rRNA from 1 species
UAAUACGUAGGUGGCAAGCGUUGUCCGGAAUUACUGGGUGUAAAGGGCGUGUAGGCGGGACGGCAAGUCAGAUGUGAAAUACCUCGGCUUAACUGGGGUGCUGCAACUGAAACUGUCGUUCUUGAGUGUCGGAGAGGAAAGUGGAAUUCCCAGUGUAGCGGUGAAAUGCGUAGAGAUUGGGAGGAACACCAGUGGCGAAGGCGGCUUUCUGGACGAUAACUGACGCUGAGGCGCGAAAGCGUGGGUAGCGAACAGGAUUAGAUACCCUGGUAGUCCACGCCGUAAACGAUGGGUACUAGGUGUAGGAGGUAUCGACCCCUUCUGUGCCGGAGUUAACACAAUAAGUACCCCGCCUGGGGACUACGGCCGCAAGGCUAAAACUCAAAGGAAUUGACGGGGGCCCGCACAAGCGGUGGAGCAUGUGGUUUAAUUCGACGCAACGCGAAGAACCUUACCAGGGCUUGACAUCCUCUGAUGUCCAUAGAGAUAUGGAGUUCGAUCUUCGGAUUGACAGAGAGACAGGUGGUGCAUGGUUGUCGUCAGCUCGUGUCGUGAGAUGUUGGGUUAAGUCCCGCAACGAGCGCAACCCUUAUUCUUAGUUGCCAGCAUUAAGUUGGGCACUCUAAGGAGACUGCCGGUGACAAACCGGAGGAAGGUGGGGAUGACGUCAAAUCAUCAUGCCCUUUAUGUCCUGGGCUACACACGUGCUACAAUGGCCUGUACAGAGGGUAGCGAAGCUGUGAAGUGGAGCCAAUCCCAAAAAGCAGGUCUCAGUUCGAAUUGUAGGCUGCAACUCGCCUACAUGAAGUCGGAAUCGCUAGUAAUCGCGAAUCAGCAUGUCGCGGUGAAUACGUUCCCGGGCCUUGUACACACCGCCCGUCACACCACGAAAGUUGACAACACCCGAAGCCGGUGUACUAACCGUAAGGAAGAAGCCGUCGAAGGUGGGGCCGAUGAUUGGGGUG